rnacentral:rRNA from 1 species
ACGGCUGCUCAGUAACACGUAGUCAACUGACCCUAUGGACGAGGAUAAUCUCGGGAAACUGAGCAUAAUACUCGAUAGAUCAUAAUGCCUGGAAUGGUUUAUGGUUGAAAUGAUUCAUCGCCAUAGGAUGGGACUGCGGCCUAUCAGCUUGUUGGUGAGGUAAUGGCCCACCAAGGCGAUUACAGGUACGGGCUCUGAGAGGAGAAGCCCGGAGAUGGGUACUGAGACAAGGACCCAGGCCCUAUGGGGCGCAGCAGGCGAGAAAACUUUGCAAUGUGCGAAAGCACGACAAGGUUAAUCCGAGUGAUUUCUGCUAAAGAAAUCUUUUGCAAGUCAUAAAACCACUAGUGAAUAAGGGGUGGGCAAGUUCUGGUGUCAGCCGCCGCGGUAAAACCAGCACCUCAAGUGGUCAGGAGGAUUAUUGGGCCUAAAGCAUCCGUAGCCGGCUCUGUAAGUUUUCGGUUAAAUCCAUGUGCUCAACGCAUGGGCUGCCGAAAAUACUGCAUAGCUAGGGAGUGGGAGAGGUAGACGGUACUCGGUAGGAAGGGGUAAAAUCCUUUGAUCUAUCGAUGACCACCUGUGGCGAAGGCGGUCUACCAGAACACGUUCGACGGUGAGGGAUGAAAGCUGGGGGAGCAAACCGGAUUAGAUACCCGGGUAGUCCCAGCUGUAAACGAUGCAGACUCGAUGAUGCAUUGGCAUAUAGCCAGUGCAGUGUCGCAGGGAAGCCGUUAAGUCUGCCGCCUGGGAAGUACGUACGCAAGUAUGAAACUUUAAAGGAAUUGGCGGGGGAGCAG